UUCAGUUUUCCUGAAGGAAGUGAAGAUGUGAAGACCCUCAGCUCUGGAAGAUGCCAACCUUGAAGAAAAGCAAGCUGUUGGAUGGCAGAAUGGUUUAAUAUUGCUUGUGCUUCACRAUGCAACCCGACUGAAAAGGUUUCUGACAAAUGAAGGCAAUAAAAUUGUCUUCUGUGCUGGAUGAAGAAUAGAAACCACCAACUCCGUUUUAUCCAGUAAACAAGGUGUCUGGAAAAAAAACUCACUGAAAGGCACAGGAAGGUGGUUGCACGGACCUAGGGAUCUGGAGACAUUAAUAAAGCUUAUGGAUUCUGUCAGCUGCAGCACCAGUAACUGAGCGUUAGCAGGAGAGCCUCCUGUGUCCUUUCCUCAUCCCUUCUGGAGCUCUGUUCUCAACUCAGCUGCAUCUGAUUUUGCAACCAGGAAAAGCUGCUGCAUGAGCCAUACUUAUGUCUAAAAUUCAUUCGGA